GAAAGUAAUUAGAGAAAUUAGUGACUUAGGGGCAUAUAUAUAUAUAAUUCAAGAGGUACACUAUUAAUUAUCAUUCUAGUUUUAAUUAUGAGAAUUAGAUAGAGGAUCAAUAAGGUGGUUAUUAUUGAUCUAAAACCUAUUUGGACGGAAAUGACAGCGGGCCAAAUAUCACUUUUGGAUUGGCUAAAUGUUGGUGGUAUGUACUUGUAAGGAAUGGCAAAUGUAGAGAAUUACAAUAAUAAUGGUGGAACUUUAUUGUGUAAAGUAUUGUGUUUACAACUCUAUAUGUAGGAAGAAAAUAAUAGUAAUAAAUAAACUGCAGAAAAUUUGUGUACUUUAAGGCACGUUACAAAUGUUGCUUUCCUUAAGACGUUAUUUGCCCCCACCAAUUGAGUGAAUGUGUUAAAAAAAUACACCUCUAGGAUACAAUAAAGCACUUGUUUGUUUACUUGCGUUGUGCAUCGAUGAAAGCAAAAUAUAAUACUCUUGAAUGUUUCAAGCCUGCCAAAAAACAAUAUAUUAAUCUUGCAGAAAACAAUAUAUUUGAUUUUUAAUGAACAAAAGAAAUGAAUGUUUAUGUUGAAAUUCGUUCUAGAACAGAAGACUAAGAAAUGAGCGGUGUGGGAUCAUUAUUUUCAUGUCUAAAUGGCUUAAACAUAACCUCUAUUUAUAGACAUACUUGUGCUCUUUAUUUAGGUUGUCAUCUUUCAUGAUACCCCUUCAUUCAUGACCAUUUGAUUAAGAUUUAAUUUUAAUCAAUGGUCCAAAUUGAACCAUCACUAUUUCAAAUGAAAUGUUACCAUGAAAUGAUGCAUCUCUAAGUGAAAUGUCAGCAUGAAAAAUUAUAUCCUUAAGUGAAAAGAUAUAUUUUCUAUAAAGCACAAUUAAUUGGACAUGUCCUUAUAAUAAGUCAUCAUUCAUUUAUACAUGUCUUUAUAAUAAGACACCAUUUAUUUUGAAAAUUUUUCCAACACUAAAAGAUCUCCCUUGGCAGGAUAAGAUUGGGCCAAAUCGAAAACUCAAACUUGAUGGUCUACGAUCCUUACAGUCCGAAGAGUAAAGUUAUACCUCUGUUGCAACUUUGACUUUUGGUUUGCUGAAUCACAGAGAUUAGGCCAUUUUUGGAACAAGAAGGGUCCUGUUAAAAGAAGUGCCAUGGAAAUAGAAUAUAUAAAGUGAAUAAUGGAGAAUAUGGUAUUGGUUUCCUAGGCUUAAAAUGACUGCAAGCUAUGAAGAUCCCUAAUUGCGGUCUUGAGAGAUGAUUUUUUAAGGUUUUAAUGAUUCAAAUGGUGCGGUUGUGGGAUUCUGAAUGUGUUUUUGGUAUUAAACAAUGAUUUUGAAAAGGUUUAAUGGCUGACUUUACCUAAUACAGCUGUAACUAUAUCUCGGUGAAGAAGGUAUAAUUUACCAGUUUUAAUGAACUUUACUCAGAAGAGCAGCAUGUUCUUGAUUAAAGAAGACUCUGUGGUUGUAAAUGAAUAGUAAUAAGUGAUGGUUUAAGGCUUCUUGUGACUUAAGAUAAAGUGUCUAUGGUGAUUUUGGUCAAAAGAAAGGUUUUCUCCUUGACUAAUGAUGAUUAUAGAUUCUUAGGUUGCUGCUUUAUUACUAAUAAUUGUAGAGAUUAGAUUGUUAGGGUGAAGACUUGUGAAAGUUGAUGACGGUUCAUGGUAACCCCUUUGAAUGGUGAGUAAAAUACCUAUUUAUAGACCUCUAGGUGAUAAAUCCUAAUCUUUCAAGAGAGGUGAAAUCCUUAGGCAAAAAUGGAAUGUGAUCACGAUCUUACUCAAUUAUAAUGAUGUAAAGAUUCAACCUUCCUCCUUAGAUAAGAUCAUGAGUAUUUUAGGCAUUGAGUUAUAUAUCCUAUUUAUCCACCAGGUAAUUUGUUUAUAAGGGUAAUUAAGCUUAGAAUGAAAUUAUAGUUUUCAGAAGGCUUAAUGUGCUCGAUUAGAGAUUAGGGAUGGCAAAAUCCAAGUCUGGGCCCAACAUCGAGCUAGGUUUUUUAAUUUGUGUUUUCAAGCCCGAAUUUUAUGUCUUAUUAUAUUAUAUAUUUUUAUUUUUAAUUUAUUUUAU
rnacentral:lncRNA from 1 species